AAGGAUACCCCACCAGCCUCCAGGAUGGGAGGCAAAGUCAAAAUGAGCAGGAAAGGGAGAGAGGAAACAAAAGGGGCUUGAUUGUUUCUGGAGGGUCAAGGCUGAAUCCUACAUUCAGGAGGGUGAGGGGCCUCAGAGAGCUGCCCUCACUCUGUAGGGCAGAUCUUACCGCUCCCAUUUUACAGAGGAGGAGACCCAGGGUCCACAGGUCACAUUUCUAGUGGGUGGCAAGGCGAGAUUCCCAGAGUCUGACCCCAAGAUCGGGCACAGAGCCACAGGAUGCCUCAAGCCUCCUGCUCUGGGGCUUGUCUAACGCUGCAUGUGUCCCAUGCGGGAUGUGGUUUUCCCUCACGGAGGCUGCUGUCUGGCCCUCCUCACUUUACAUUCCAUUGCAAGCAUUUCCUGUUGUGAAUGUUUAAUCCUGAGUGUGUUUUAAUGACUGGUGGCAGGCACCCUGUUAGCAUUCUUACCCCAUUCUUCCUAAACUGUGUUCCCUGUGGAGAACUAACUUCUGCUAAUAUACAUGCAACAUCUUGAAGAAUCUGACUAAACCUGAGUGUUGGAAUUUCUAAUUAUUGUUCUAGGAUACGUUCAUAAAAAUCAGAGUUUCCAGCAUGGACUCAGGAGCCAGAGGGCCCUAUUUGAAUUCUGGUUUCACCCUGUGCUGCAUGUGUGACUUUGGGCUAAUUAUUUAAAGGCUCCAUACCUGGCUUCCAUUUCUGUAAACAGGAAUCAUAGUAGCUCGCACCUCACUGCAUUGUUCUUGGGGCUGAACCACGUGUGUUUUUGCGUGUCACGGUAUAUAUAGGCGUAUGCUAGCAGCAUAUGUAAAUAAUUUCUAACAUGCCUGCACAGAAAAGCUGAGGGUGCCUAGCUGUUGAUGUCUUAGCCACUGCCUUUGGGGAAGGUUGAGCUAAUACUGGAAGAACAUUAAAGACACUGAAAAGACAACUC
rnacentral:lncRNA from 1 species